UGCAGUCAAAAGAUACACACGUCUAUUAUUUUGCUCUGGUGGAUUUUGAAAUAAACUAAAGUAACAUGGACAUUUAUCUUCAACAAUUCUUGAUUGUCUUCGUCUUUGGUGCUGCUCGAAAGUCGAUCUCAACAAGGUAUAAUCCUGUUUCACUUGAAAUUAGUUGUACUUGUUGUCAAUAUAUUUAGUAUUGAAUUUUGUGCCAAAGUAGCGAACUUGGCCAAGACGAAGUCAAAUGGUGAGCGUAUAUGCCUCCCAAGCAUUGAAUUUACACUUUAGCGUUGUUUAGCUAGGUUCUGAAAAGACUUUAGCUUCUCCUUCCGUAAUUUUUAUCGAGUUUUAAGGUUAAAAAUUCGCUCAAUUCACGAGCAUUGUUUGAGCGAAGUUGCAGACUCGCUAUAGCACGUGUGAAAAAUGACUUUUAAUGUUGCUUUAUUUCUGUUCUAAUUGAUUUUAAUCAGCUUUAGAAUGUAGUUAAGAGUCUUCCUAAGCGAGUUCUUGGUAAAAAGCAAUAGAAUUUCGACUGCGAGUAUUCUGCUGAAAGUUUAUACGCACUAGUUUGUCUUAAUAAUUAUCGAGAAAAUAUAUGCAUGGCUGAUUCGCCUAUUAAACUGGCAAAAUUUCAAAUGUUUGCGAUAGAUUAAGAACAUUUCGCAGUAUCAACAUAAAAUUGACUGCAUUGGCCAGACAAAAUUGAAACAAAUUCUCGAAGGCAUGUAUUCUUGAAUUAUAAGGAACAUUUGAGAGCAAUAACGGUAAACCCGAAAGUUCACUGUAGCAUAUUUUCAAUUCGCAUGCAUACGAAAAAACAAUGAUUUGAAGAGUUUUUGAGAGCUCAAGUUUAACGAAGUUAAUGUUUCGUUAAACUUAUGUGACUUUAAGAUUACCCUCGGCUCGGCCGACGUUUGAAGAUAUUUGUCUUAUAGCUUCUCAAUUCCCAUACAAUACCAGAAACCUUACAUGUGCAGAGUGUACAAAAAGUGAUCCUUUAGAAAUCACUGACUACAGAGCAAGGAGUAUUUAAUUAAAUUCCCAGGUGAAAAAUAACGCGCUUUUAACAACAAAACUAAGAUGAUUUCUAAAGAGACUUUACUGCUAUCCAAUCAUUUUUCUGGUUUUAACCACCUUAAGUGUGAUUCAAUAUUUAUUAAUUUUUAUUUUUUUCCAUUUCAGAUCGCACUGUUCAUCAGGCCUCAACCUGGCCCUUACCGCAUCAGGUGGUAAACCCGCAUUGGGCGGUCAAGUAAAAUUUUUACUCUGCACUUUUUAUUUUAUUCCCCAUUUUUUACAUGCAUAGUCGUCAUCAGGACGCAUGAUCUUAGAUACUUAGGUAAAUACGCCAUUGCAUGCCGAAAUAUUUCGUUCAACUUUUGGGCCAAAUUCAACCCUCGAAUGCAUGGGCUUUCAGCAUGUAUACCAAGUGAGAUGUGUUACAUGAAACAUUUCACUCUCGAUAUAUAUAAACACUGAUGGUCUACGUGCAUAAACAGACCUAUUUCUUUUUUCUCAAAGUACUG